UCACAACAAACACUAUCAGAAUAUAAAUAACCUCUUCCAACUUCGACUGUGUAAUUUAAUUCCAUCAUGUUAACUGUUAUAAUAUUCACUUGUAUCAUCACUGUAGUCGUUGGAGAAACCAAGUCUUCAAAUUGCAGCCUUCCAGCAGAUUGUGAUCGUCGUAAAUGUCCAAUUCCAGGAUGUGCUCCAGGUUCCUUAUACAGCGAAAAUGACCCGUGUGUGUGCUGUCCCAGAUGCCUGUUAAUUAAAAAAAAUGGUGAAAAGUGCGGAGGAAGAUUAUCCAAUACCAUAUGCGACAGUGGUCUGAAAUGUAUAGACGGUAUUUGUAAAUGAAGAUUAUGAUUUACAUGCCGUGAGGAAACUAUAUUGAUUCAUGAAACAAUAAAAUAUGAAACAAAUAAAA